GCUUAUAUAUUAAGUUUUAAAAUACUAGUUUUUUAGAUAAAUUAUAUUAUAAGUUUAUAAUUUUAUUAUAAAAAAAUUAUUAUAGCUUAACUUUAAUAAUAAAAAAUUAUAAAAAUUCUAGGUUUAUAUUAAAAUACUUUAAAGCUUAUUAUUAUUUUUUAUUUUAUUUUUAUUAUAUAUAAUACUACUUUUUAAUUAAUUAUAAGCUAUAAAUAAAACCUUUAUUAUAAGCU
rnacentral:tRNA from 1 species